rnacentral:rRNA from 1 species
GACGAACGCUGGCGGCGUGCUUAACACAUGCAAGUCGAACGGUGAACUCCGCUUGCGGGGGGAUCAGUGGCGAACGGGUGAGUAACACGUGGGCAACCUGCCCUCAGCUCUGGGAUAACUCCAAGAAAUUGGGGCUAAUACCGGAUAUGACCGCUGACCGCAUGGUCUGGUGGUGGAAAGAUUUAUCGGCUGGGGAUGGGCCCGCGGCCUAUCAGCUUGUUGGUGGGGUAGUGGCCUACCAAGGCGACGACGGGUAGCCGGCCUGAGAGGGUGACCGGCCACACUGGGACUGAGACACGGCCCAGACUCCUACGGGAGGCAGCAGUGGGGAAUAUUGCGCAAUGGGCGAAAGCCUGACGCAGCGACGCCGCGUGGGGGAUGACGGCCUUCGGGUUGUAAACCUCUUUCAGCAGGGACGAAGCGGAAGUGACGGUACCUGCAGAAGAAGCACCGGCCAACUACGUG